rnacentral:rRNA from 1 species
GACGAACGCUGGCGGCGUGCUUAACACAUGCAAGUCGAACGGAAAGGCCCUGCUUUUGUGGGGUGCUCGAGUGGCGAACGGGUGAGUAACACGUGAGUAACCUGCCCUUGACUUUGGGAUAACUUCAGGAAACUGGGGCUAAUACCGGAUAGGAGCUCCUGCUGCAUGGUGGGGGUUGGAAAGUUUCGGCGGUUGGGGAUGGACUCGCGGCUUAUCAGCUUGUUGGUGGGGUAGUGGCUUACCAAGGCUUUGAAGGGUAGCCGGCCUGGGAGGGUGACCGGCCACAUUGGGACUGAGAUACGGCCCAGACUCCUACGGGAGGCAGCAGUGGGGAAUAGUGCACAAUGGGCGGAAGCCUGAUGCAGCAACGCCGCGUGCGGGAUGACGGCCUUCGGGUUGUAAACCGCUUUCGCCUGUGACGAAGCGUGAGUGACGGUAAUGGGUAAAGAAGCACCGGCUAACUACGUG